AACGUGGGAAGAGGGAGCAGGGCUUUGCUGUGGGGUGCAGGCAUCAUUGAAAAAGCAGGGGAGAGUUGACAGACUGAGUUUAGAGUAAUCACAUAGUGUGAUCAAGAAAUUUGUGCGACGUGACCCCGACUCCAUGUUUUGACAUCUGCCACGAGACAUCUUGGGAAGCUCCUCCGACUCCUCAACUCCCCUGUUUAACGGAUUGAUGUCUGCCAUAACUGCAGACACAUGACAAACCUCAUGGACACCAUCUUGAACGAGGAAAUUUUACACAGAGCCAGAUGGAUGUGGAAUGACAUCCGGACAGCUGAUGACUUUCGUGACCCUGGAGAGAACAACAGACAAUUCCGCCAAGGCCGCCUAUCGCCAAUAUGUCAUGUGGAAAAUCCCCAAGCACAUUAGAUAGGAUUCAGACAAAGCAGACAACGAGGAACCACAUUUCAUAUUUUCAAAGCAUUGGUCCAGUAGAAAUGUGCAUGUUAUAUUACUUUAUAAAUAUUUGUAGCUACAUUUGCACUUUAUUUUUUAAAUUGACUUCUAGGAAUGUCUGCACAUUUACCUCUGCCAUUUUGAAAUUGUUCAUUUGUUAUAAAUUAAGAACUGAAAGUAAAUGGUAUUUUCGCCACGAUUGCCACUCAGAAGUCAAAGUUCCACAUUUUGUAUCUCCUUCCAAUUCAUAAACAUCAGUGCCCUGUAUAACGCUUGUUCAUGGAUUAUAUAUUUAAAACAAGAAAUGUAAAACUAAUUAAAAGUAUUUAAACACCUUUG